rnacentral:rRNA from 1 species
GAUGAACGCUGGCGGCGUGCUUAACACAUGCAAGUCGAACGAAGCACUUUAUUUGAUUUCCUUCGGGACUGAUUAUUUUGUGACUGAGUGGCGGACGGGUGAGUAACGCGUGGGUAACCUGCCUUGUACAGGGGGAUAACAGUUGGAAACGGCUGCUAAUACCGCAUAAGCGCACAGCAUCGCAUGAUGCAGUGUGAAAAACUCCGGUGGUAUAAGAUGGACCCGCGUUGGAUUAGCUAGUUGGUGAGGUAACGGCCCACCAAGGCGACGAUCCAUAGCCGACCUGAGAGGGUGACCGGCCACAUUGGGACUGAGACACGGCCCAAACUCCUACGGGAGGCAGCAGUGGGGAAUAUUGCACAAUGGGCGAAAGCCUGAUGCAGCGACGCCGCGUGAGCGAAGAAGUAUUUCGGUAUGUAAAGCUCUAUCAGCAGGGAGGAUAAUGACGGUACCUGACGAAGAAGCACCGGCUAAAUACGUG